AUUGAACGCUGGCGGCAGGCCUAACACAUGCAAGUCGAGCGGCAGCGCGGGUGUAGCAAUACAUCUGGCGGCGAGCGGCGGACGGGUGAGGAAUACAUCGGAAUUUACCCAAUCGUGGGGGAUAACGUAGGGAAACUUACGCUAAUACCGCAUGAACUGGAGACAGCAAAGCGGCGGACCGAAAGGCGUCGCGCGGUUGGAUGAGCCGAUGUCGGAUUAGCAGUUGGCGGGGUAAAGGCCCACCAAGGCGACGAUCCGUAGCUGGUCUGAGAGGAUGAUCAGCCACACUGGAACUGAGACACGGUCCAGACUCCUACGGGAGCAGCAGUGGGGAAUAUUGGACAAUGGGCGCAAGCCUGAUCCAGCCAUGCCGCGUGUGUG
rnacentral:rRNA from 1 species